rnacentral:misc_RNA from 1 species
GCAAAUGAAUUGCAUUAAAAGGCAUAGAAUUCAAUUGUUCCAAAACUGUAAAAAUAUGCAUUUCAAUAACAACUGAAACGCAAUUAAUUUGGUUUCAAUUAUAUUCCCAUUUCAAGAAGGUAUGAAGAAGACAAAUAUAAAAUUAAAACAAAUUAUUUCCUUUUUUUUUUUCCUUUCUUUUCUGCAGAACCGCCCCUUUGUUCUAAUUCUGUUUUUCUACAGAAUCAAGAAACAAAACUUCCUAAAGUAGACAAAUUUCUGUAGGGUUAGCCCAAUGUAGGGAUUUUGUAGGAGUAGAAAUGAUGCCUGUUUCCAAGUCAUAUACCCACCAACCAUCAGCAGAGCAAAGGGUAAAGUAUACGCAAUUUCUCCUACAUCCCACUCUGCUUGCUGACACAGACAUACAGCAAUUGGCACCCAUAAUCAAUGUUACAUCCCUAAGGCUCUCCUUCUUAGUCCAUGUGAGAUUACCUAUAUUAAGCUGGUAAAUUUCCACACAAUCCACCACAUUAAUGGAAUCUCUAGAGACUAUGAAAACUAGCAAAAUCCCCCCUUCUGAUUCAAUCAUACAUUCUCUAAAACGUUUAGAAGAAACAGAAGGAACAGCUCUUUUCUUACCCAAAGCUGUGAUUCUAAGAUCAGAAUCAAUGUCUUCUAUUACUGCAAGAGUUCCGUGUAAACUCAAAGCAUAAAACUUAUCCUUGAACCAAAUGCCAUUAGUGAAUCGCAGAAGAUGGGCUCGUUCAUGCGGGUCAGAACAGUAAGGGUCAAUGAUGGAGCUAUCCUUUUUAAUCCAUUUUUCUGAUUUCUGCCGCAGUUUGUAGAAAGCAAAAGCUGGACGAGCAAUGCCUGUCAAAACGAUCACAGUGCAUUUAUUGUUGUGAUAACGAUAACCUACAGGGUUUGAAGAUGAAGCAGCAUAUACAACUGGAUCCUUGGCAUCCCACAAAGGGGAAG